rnacentral:rRNA from 1 species
CAGCAGCCGCGGUAAUACAGAGGGUGCGAGCGUUAAUCGGAUUUACUGGGCGUAAAGCGUGCGUAGGUGGUGGUUUAAGUCCGUUGUGAAAGCCCUGGGCUCAACCUGGGAAUUGCAGUGGAUACUGGGUCACUAGAGUGUGGUAGAGGAUAGUGGAAUUUCCGGUGUAGCAGUGAAAUGCGUAGAGAUCGGAAGGAACAUCUGUGGCGAAGGCGACUAUCUGGGCCAACACUGACACUGAGGCACGAAAGCGUGGGGAGCAAACAGGAUUAGAGACCCGAGUAGUCCCUGUCUCUUAUAC